rnacentral:lncRNA from 1 species
ACCAACCCCGUUCCUCCACGAGCUAGCAGCAGCCGCACCCGAGUGUCUCUUCCAUGUAUGCCCAUGGAUCUUCCCUGCGCUCGUGCCUCUUCCCUAACGCGAUCGGCAGAGGAACUCCGGUCUGAAGCUUUGCGCCCCUAGGUCCUCCGCGCUGCACACUGGGAGAGUCACUCCUGUGCGCGUCCAACUGCAAGGAGGGGAUCUCCUCCCACUGCUCCCUCUGGUGCCCGCGCCUCCGGGCAUCUCCAACAUGCCCCGCCACCGUGAGGAGCUCCG